rnacentral:rRNA from 1 species
GACAGAGGGUGCAAACGUUGUUCGGAAUUACUGGGCGUAAAGCGCGUGUAGGCGGCUAAGUAAGUCGGGCGUGAAAUCCCACGGCUCAACCGUGGAAGUGCACUCGAAACUGCAUAGCUAGAGUCCUGGAGAGGAAGGUGGAAUGCUUGGUGUAGAGGUGAAAUGCGUAGAUAUCAGGAGGAACACCGGUGGCGAAGGCGGGUCUCUGGGCCGAUAUUGACGCUGAGGAGCGAAAGCGUGGGGAGCGAACAGG